rnacentral:tRNA from 1 species
GCCCAUAUGGCUCAGUCGGUAGAGCGCACCCUUGGUAAGGGUGAGGUCAUCGGUUCAAUUCCGGUUAUGGGCACCA